rnacentral:rRNA from 1 species
UACAGAGGUCUCAAGCGUUGUUCGGAUUCAUUGGGCGUAAAGGGUGCGUAGGCGGCGCGGUAAGUCGGGUGUGAAAUCUCGGAGCUUAACUCCGAAACUGCAUUCGAUACUGCCGUGCUUGAGGACUGGAGAGGAGACUGGAAUUUACGGUGUAGCGGUGAAAUGCGUAGAUAUCGUAAGGAACACCGUUGGCGAAGGCGACUUUCUGGGCUGCUACUGACGCUGAAGCGCGAAAGCCAGGGGAGCGAACAGG